CGGCGCACUUCAACAAUGGCUGAAACAAAGGCUAGAUGUCACUGCUCUGUUCCACUUUGUACAUCUAACAAACAACACCAACCCUACUUAAGUUUUGAGUGAAUUGAGUCUAAGGAAGAAGUGGAUUCAAGCGGUUCGCCGGGAUGAAGGGCCAAACUUUAAAAUAAAACAAGGUAGCACGUUUGUUUGUAGCCGGCACUUUAGUGAAUCAGACUACAAACGCUACAGCUAGCAACCAACCGGGGUCACACCAAGCGACGGGUCUGUACCCUCCCGUUUCCAGUGGAACAACUGGGGACUGCCAAGAAGGGGGUCUGUUUAUAAAAGAGCAUCAACUCACUUAGGCCAUGACGUUCACCCAGCCCUUCCUCUGGAGCAACCGCUGCCCUUUGAAUAAGAGCCGAUGGAGGAGAUCGCAGCUUCGGUGGUGAUGACAGAACAUGAUUUCGGUUCUGCUCCUAAACCAGUUUGGAAGGGGAAUAAAUGCUGUCAGAUCCACUCCAAGUCUCCUCUGCAUUAUCGGCCAACUAGUCACACGAAGACCUGUGAACAUUAAUGUGACAGGCUGAUUGAAGUCUGUUACAUAAACUGGUGCCGUGACCUUUCAAGGAUUCAACUGAUCAGCCGCUGUUGCCGAUCCCCGGGGUUAAGCUGUCUGCAUGAAGGUAUCGUGAUGGAAGACCAGUGAAUCCUCAUCGUCCGUGCUAAUUGUACUGUGUGUCUAGGUCAAUUGGAAUUUAUCUGGUUAAGUUUCAAUACUACAUUAGGUUUUGUUGUGCUUCUCUUUUCUUUAUUUUAUUUUCAUUUAAUUGAGAGGGAAUAUACACACAAUUUUGGUUUUCUGUUGACGAUAUUCAGUUUACAGUAUGUCCAGUGGACGUGAUUUUUUUGAUAAUGUGACACCUUAUGUCGGGAGAGGGAGGGGCAGGGGCCUAUUGGUUUAUGCAGGGGAGGAGGUUAAGAAGCUGGCUUUCACAGACAUCCCACAGCAUUCUGUGGGAUCCACUUCUCUCUCACAGACACUACCCCUACAUUUCAGUGAUAGUGAGGAACAUGCACAGGUUAAGACAGGCCAUGUAGUCACAUCCCCUGUAGGGCCUAUAUCAUCCACGCCCAUUGUGUCUGUCAGUGGCAAUGACCCUGCAGCUGAUCUCCGUGACUUGAUCACUGAAUUGGGUAAUCAAAUAGGAGAUUCAAUAGUCAGUCGGCUGUUUGCCCCCAGUCCACCUGUCUUGCCAUCAUUUGUCCCAGUCUCUCCUGUGGUUGGUGGCGACAAUCC
ensembl:lncRNA